AUAAAUUAGGGGUCAUGAGAAGCUGAGAGAAUUGGAUCUGUUCACCUUAGUGAUGUCUCAGGGGCGAAUUUCCUGCUUUCCACAAUGACUUGUUCAGAGGAAAACAAGAAGAUGAACCUAGUCCAUGGAACUGUCCAGGAAGCAGGGGAAAUAUCCAGUAACGGGAUGUGUUGUAGAUGACCUCUGCAGGUCACUUCUCACAUACAUUCUGAAUCUGGGUCCCCCCGUCCUGCCCUCCCUGACGUCUGCACAACCAUGGGCAUACAGGACCUCACAUCCCCUCUGCCACAAACCAACUUUCACUUAUAGUGUUGGAAGUACACAGAGGCAGCUGAAGGGAGGCUCUCAGCCUCCUCACUGCCAACCGCAGGAAAUCAGUGGCUGCUGUUUGCACCCCUGAGCUAGGGGAAAGCUCUGGGAAGCUGGUCCGUCACCUGGGUCAGGGCUCUGCAGUGCCGUGCGGGUUUCUUCUUGCUGGAGGACAGGCAAAGUCCUUUUCCCAGGAGCCGCAGUUGUGGCUGUGCAGAGCCUGGGAGACCUGCGAGCCCGGGCGACACACCGAGCGGCUCUGGGGCAGGACUCAGGUCCGGGGCGGAGCUGUCGGAGGUAGAGGGGAGGGGAGAGAAGAGAGAGGAGAGGGAGAGGAAGGAGAAGGAGAAGGAGAAGGAGAAGGAGAAGGAGAAGGAGAAGGAGAAGGAGAAGGAGAAGGAGAAGGAGAAGGAGAAGGAGAAGGAGAAAGAAGGAGAAGGAGAAGGAGAAGGAGAAGGAGAAGGAGAAGGAGAAGGAGAAGGAGAAGGAGAAGGAGAAGGAGAAGGAGAAGGAGAAGGAGAAGGAGAAGGAGAAGGAGAAGGAGAAGGAGAAGGAGAAGGAGAAGGAGAAGGAGAAGGAGAAGGAGAAGGAGAGGAGGAGGCGGUGCCGUAGCAGAGAGCCAGUGCUGGCUAGGCGCGGGCUGCAGAGUGACGGGAUGUGUCGGUGUCGGGGCGCAAGGCUGGCGGGACUGGCCACGGUGCUCCUGGCAGUGGCUGUGGGCAGAGCGCAGGUGCAGCAGGACCCUUCGGCAGAGACCAUCGAGGGCAUCGCCAUCAGCAUCAACUGCUCACAUCCCAACAUAAAGACAAGCGACUACAUCUACUGGUAUCGUCAGCUCCUGGACCGAGGUCCCGAACUCCUCUUGUGGGGUACUAAAGGCUCCAGACCUCUGUCGGACCCGCCAGGACGGUUGUCGGUGGCGGCAGACCGCCGGUCCAGCGCCCUGCGGCUCGAAAGGCCCCGGCGCGGGGACGCGGCGGUGUAUUACUGCGCCGUGGGAGACACGGGGAGAGGAGCCGGGGCUGCGGCCGGACACGAACCGCCGCGGGCGGGGUCGGGUGUGUUUGGGGGGGAGCGGGUGAACAACACCGGUCGGAUCCGCCAGGGGGCGCUGCCGCUCCACCCGCCGCUGCCGCCUUGUCCCGCGGGCUCCGGGGCGGUUCCGUUGCCCGAGCGGCACCGGCACCAGCUUCAGCAUCAACAUCGGCAUCGCCAUUGACAUUUCCGUUGUCACCCCCAGCGGGACGGAGACAGACAUACCCCGUCACAUCACGGUGGAAUCGUGACCGGAGCAGUGUCGGUGUCCGGUGGUGGCCGGGAAAGAGCGACUGCAGUCGCCGGCCCCGCCGGCUCCCGGCGAGGAGCAGCGACAUUCUGCUCUGCAGAGUGGGGCGGGCAGAGAGAUCCUCCUGCCCACGGGCAGCUGCACAGCCCUUGCUCCUGCUGCAAUGACCCUCCCAUGGAACACACGGGAGCUCUUCUUGGGCUUUUGGUUUUCCCCAGCAGCACAGCCAAGGGACCCCUGAGCAGGUGCUUUCCUCUGCUUUGUAAACACAGGGACUCCUGUGCUAAAGUGCUAAUGCAAAACUUGACUUAGAAAACAAGAACCAGAAGGGGUUUCAUGUGUUGCUACUUUGUUAAAUCUCAGAUAUGCAAUUUAAAACUG